AAAUUUUAGAUUUUACGUUUUCUUAAGUAAUGAAUUUUUAUACUUAAAAAAAGGGGGAUUUUAUGAAACUUUGGUGAAUAUAUUAAUGUAACAUCCCUUUUGAUUAGUAUAUAUAUUUCUAGUUGAUCAUAUAAAUUCAUUUAAAGCAUAAAAGACAAGUUAAAAGAGCAACGGGCGUAUCAUGCGCUAAAGCGCAGCCCUUUAUUACACAUAAUAAACAAAUGGAUUUCAUUUGUUGGUGAUGCAAAACAGUGCUAAGAAUCAUAUCUUAACUACAAUGAAAUACUUCAAUAUUUAUUGGGACCAUCAGGGCUAGUAACUUUUUUUCCGGACAAGUGAACUUUACAGUUUUACUUGCCAAGGGACAAGUGCCCACAGCAAAUAUUUCCACACCCCUG
rnacentral:lncRNA from 1 species